rnacentral:lncRNA from 1 species
CGGACAUGGUGAGAGCGACAUCGCUUUGGGCACACAGCAGAAGGACGUCACCAUCAAGUCAGAUGCGCCUGACACCCUGCUGCUCGAGAAGCAUGCUGAUUAUAUCGCCUCGUACGGCUCAAAGAAAGAUGAUUAUGUGUGUAUGAGUUUCUUGUUAGUUUAAUACUAAUGGACAGGCCUGUUUCUUAAAGCGUUGUCUGUUGGCAGAGGCCUGAUUUAAAGUCCAUUAGGAUAGAUGGGCCUGGUAUACUAGAGGUUGAUACUGGAUAGCAUUAGCCUUGCAUACCGGUACACAAAGGGCCAGAAUACAGGGAUGCAGGUAGAAGGGGUUUACUCCUUUCUGUCUGGGGUAUAACCUUGAAGGUCAAUGAUGUGUUGGCAUGUAUUAUCUGAAUUUGCUGAUGUGUCCUAACAUUUGAGCUCUAGAAUUACGCUGAGACCUUGAAAAGGUUUUACCUAAACAGUAUAAUAGGGAGGUUACCACACCCCUGUGAUAAUCUCCAGCAAGGGGUAGAGCUGGAAACCCCGGGCUUUGUGGGGAGACCCUCUCCAAAGAGGAAUCACAUGGGUAAUCAGACCCUUAUUUUGGGAGGGGGGGAAUCAUAGGCCUAAAUGGUCCUUAUGUCAACUGUCCGCCUGGCCCUUUAGGCGUUUGGUUUGGCUUGGCAGCACACCAAUGACACCUGUACCUGAGUGAACGCUUGUGAAAUGAUGCUUGAUUUGGUUUCCAUCUCCAGCACCAUUUAUCUCUCCGUAUUCAUAGACCUUGUAAAAUGCAGUAAUUGGUGUUUGGUAGACUGAAGGAGUGAAUGUUGCCUACUAAAUUCACCUGAAGUUGGCACUUGGAAACUAUUAAAGUUUGUUCUCAAUCUUCCUGAUGCUGCAACCCUGUCGUACCAUACAGUUCUGCAUGUUGUGGUGAGCCCCAACCAUAAGAUAGUUUCAUUAGUUCAAGACUUAAUUUUGCUGUAAUGUCGGACCCAAAGGGGUGAGAACCGAUGCUCUUAAAGUUGUUCACAGCUGACCUAGGUAAAGGUGGGUUUUGUAGUCAAGAGUGACAAAUUUAAGACACUUCUCCCAGGAAUACUGCAUGUCCGAAUACUUGAGAAUGAGCGGCGUCUACUGGGGCCUGACAGUGAUGGACCUCAUGGGGCAGCUUCAUCGGAUGAAUAAAGAGGAGAUACUGGUGUUUAUCAAGUCGUGCCAGCAUGAGUUGUGGGGGAGUCAGUGCCAGCAUCGGGCACGACCCCCACCUUCUCUACACGCUCAGUGCUGUCCAGAUUCUCACUCUGUAUGAUAGCAUCCAUGUAAUCAACGUAGACAAAGUGGUAGCCUAUGUUCAGAGUCUACAGAAAGAAGAUGGUUCCUUUGCUGGAGACAUCUGGGG